rnacentral:lncRNA from 1 species
CUUAAAUAGCAACAUACAAAGGAAAAGUGCGCUAUAUAUGCGGGACACUCAAACAAACAUUUGUACAUCAAAUACAAAUGUCUACAAACAAACCAAAAACACCCUCCAUUGAGGGCCUUCGAAAUCAAUAAAAUCUAAACAUCAAAACCACAAAGUCAUCUCCCAAAAUCAAAGUCUAAACGCCCUCCAAAAUAACCAUCAAACCUACCAAAAAUUCUUGCAACUGCACCUUGCUUCUCUUCUGCAGUUGAGGGCAAUUAAGCGCAAGUAAAAUCACCAUCUAGAAAACACAUAGCUCAAUUCUUGAAACAAGCUACGCCGUCUAACAUCCAUGUAUUUGUAAAAACCCCAUCAACAACGAACUCAUAAGAGAAAAUCCACAAAAAAAAAAAAAAAAACCGCCACUAUCCACCACAAGCACAACCACAAAAACCAACAGCAGCACCACCACCAAAACUACCAUUAACCACCACAAAAUCACCAUUACUCCUCACCAAAAACCAGCACCAACCACCACGAGCUUCACCACCAAUAUCCAUCCAAAACCACACCACUAUAACCACCACACUAACUUACACCUCCACUGCCUCCACCAACCUUCUCGCAGCACAGCUACCACCACAACAACAACAACCAAGCAAAACCAACACUAUAUGUGACCAUCCUGUGAGCCGUAAUCACGUCCACCUAGCCACCACACAACCACCACGAAAAGUUAAUGUGACAAACACGAAAACUGUCGGAGAAAACGGCAAACCUUCAACAACCACCUUUCACCACCAACCCAUAACUAAUCGCCGCACCAACAACCCUGUGCACCACCAUUACCGUUGUCACCGCCGACGACACUCUACCAUCACCUGCAAACCACUACUGCAUCACCACCACCACACAAAGACCUCCACCCGAACCACCACCACCACAUCACCACCGAAUUCGUGAACAGCAUCUCCACAACCAAAGCAAAAUCACCACAACAUCACCACAUCCACCUCCUUUCACCGUCAAAACUGUGACCUACACUACCACAACACACUAAGAGGAAACUGCCAGAUCCGGAUUGAGAAAGACCACAGAAAAAUUCAAAACGAAACAACAACAAAACGGAAACGAAAAACGAACAAAAAAACACAAUGACUGAAGACGAAAAAACGUUGCCGCCAUUGCGAAGACAAGAAAACCACCAGCAAAACGCACAAGAUCA